UACGAAGGGUGCAAGCGUUACUCGGAAUUACUGGGCGUAAAGCGUGCGUAGGUGGUUUGUUAAGUCUGAUGUGAAAGCCCUGGGCUCAACCUGGGAAUGGCAUUGGAUACUGGCUGACUAGAGUGCGGUAGAGGGUGGCGGAAUUCCCGGUGUAGCAGUGAAAUGCGUAGAUAUCGGGAGGAACAUCCGUGGCGAAGGCGGCCACCUGGACCAGCACUGACACUGAGGCACGAAAGCGUGGGGAGCAAACAGG
rnacentral:rRNA from 1 species